rnacentral:lncRNA from 10 species
GCCACUGAUCCCUGGUUGUUUCAGCUCACCGCAGGGCAGCCCUGAGGGGCUGGUGUCCAGAGCUCCCCAGGAGACUGACUGAAGCCCUGUGUCCCUGCACCGCCCUGGACUUCUUCCUGUGCCCUUCCCUCCGCCCCUCCCCACAGAUAUCGAUCCAGAUAAAUACCCUGAGCUGUCCUGCAUACAAAGUCCAGCUCCACAUCUGCUCCUGGGGGUGCCACCUGUGACACCUGCUUACAGAGACAGGGGAAGGGGCUCAUCUCAGGCUGGCAUCCUCCAGAGCCAAGGAUUUGGGGACCAGUGCUUUCUCAAGGAGGUGCUCAUGGGAGCCAGGAACGGGAGGAAAGCAGUCCUGGCUGGAGCGGGGAGCCCAGACUCCGCCUGAUCCAGUGGGGGCUUCCGGGCCUCAGUGGCUCUUCAGAAGUCUAUCUUGCCCCAGGCCUGGGCGUGGGGCUGUUGGUCCCAGGUUAACCCAGUACCAUAGGGGGAAGCAGUGGCACCAGUGCUCAAGGGCAGCCUCCAAAGGCCAGGUGGUGCCUGCAGGCUGAGUCUGCAGAGGCUGAUGGAUGGGCGCACGGUGCUGGAGGAAGAUUGUCUGGGAAGUAGGCACCAGCCAGUGCACUAUAGGGGCACAGGUCAUUGCAGAGUUCGGGACUAUUUGUGUUCCUAUCACCUCACACAUUUGCCUUGACUUGAGUCAAGAGGAGGACCAUAAGUCCUGUGAAAAAAGGUAGAAAUGAGAUUUCUCAAAACAAAUGAAUCAGUGCUCUGCGGGGAAGGCUUGGUGAGAUCUUUACAUCUGAAAAACAGCUGGCGCAGGCCACAAAGCUGGUGCUGCCCUGGUAAGGCCUCUGGGAGACUGCGCGACCAUGGUUCAGACCAAAGCCGAUGAUUCAGCCCAGUGAUCUGCAGCUGGUGGGUUCGGGUUAGGAUCACCUGUGUGGUCACAUGUGGAUAAAAAUGGAGAAACGUAAUCACUCUGCUUCUGUUUCAUGUAUUCUUCUCUUUCUUUGGAAAACAUCCCAAACUCAGUCUCCACAGAACCCGCCACAGGGACUGCGUGGGAAGUGUGUGGUGUAGCUGAGGAAGGGGACAGGGAACCCAGCUCAGGAUUUGGCCAAGUGAUUCUUCCCCAAGCUCCUGGCUCUGCCUUAACUGCCUAGAAGUACAUCAGGACUGUAACAAGUUCAUCAUGGGAGAGGUUUGACCACCAGGUAAUAUUCCCUGUGGGCAGGGCUCCUGGGUCCAUUUUGAUGGGUCUGUGGUUAGAGUUGACCUGGCAGCUUUGAGAAGGAGAGACUUGUCUGUGCAUGAACAAGAGGAAGGACUGAUGUUGAAGUGGUGGUGCCAUUCCCAUCAGCUGUUCUAUUCCACAGGGCCCAGUAGACCCACGGCCCUGUGUUAGGUCUGGCCAGCUGGCACGGUCACCUACUUCUGACUUUUUCCAAGACUGCAGCCAAAGGAUGGUAUCUCUGAAGGCAAAAAUAUGGCUUGCUGAAAAUGUCCAUCUUCAGUGAAUGAGAUCUGAUUUUUUUCCUAGGAAGAUUUUUGAAAUCUAGAUGGAACCUUCUCCAAACAGGCAGAAACAGUCCAGCCUCCAGGUAAUCUGCUGAGUGAUGCUGUCAUUCCGGAGCACAGGCGAGCUUGUGGGCACUGCACCUGUGACGUGUCAUCCCCAGCACAAGAAUGCCAUCACCCUGAACAGCACUGGAGAAACUGAAGCUGCGGGGAGAUGCUGUGGGAGGGAGCAGGUGCCAGGGCAGCCCUCCUGUGUUGGGGCUUUCUGUGAAGCAGGAAAGGGCUGUGUUUACGACGUGGUGGAGGGAGAGCUGCUGUGGGCAGGUAAGGCCUCCACCCAGGAAGUCAGGAAGAUCAUGGAUGGAAAGGGCUGUCCCAACGGCCCCCAAUUCCCACGCACAGCUUGAAAGCUAGGCUGCACCAGUGCCCUUGGAGAUGCUGCAGCUUGUUCCUGGAAGUCAGCAGUCCUGCCCAGGAAAUGUGUGUGUGCACAGCUCACCCCCAAAGACCACGGCUCUGCGGGAGGACCCUGGGGGUCGAGGUCUCCACCUCCUAAGGGCAGUGGUGAGACACACACCUGUUCAUGUUGGCUGACAUCGAGUGUGUUACCUCUGAGCACUAGCGUGUCUCAUGGGCGAUAUCCACUUCCUGCAUUCUUAAAGAUGAGUUGGUUGGCUGCAGUGUUGAAGUUUCCCAAGGUUUUAGAUCGGAGAGAAAGCAGUUAUGACCCAGCAAGUACUAAUGUUAAUAAUAGUCUCCACGGAGUGCUGUGGCAGCAGGAGCCGCAGUGAGAGGCAACCCAGCAGUGAAGGAAGAGGGAGCCACUUGGGGAACCGUGUGGUUCAGAGAUGCCCGGGUAGAAAAGGACCAGAAAAGGGCUCCCUGGGCUACACGGCCGGAGCUCCCUGGCAACCCUGGAGUGGAAGGGCAGGAACCAGCCUGCAGUGGACGGAGGCGCCAGGAGGUGGUGAGAAGUGAAAACGAGAACCUGGGCCACUUUCCAGGCUCUGCUGCUUGGGGAGGAGAGAAGCUCGAGAGCUCCAGGUUCACAGAGGAUGCCUUCAGUACGGGAGAAGCUCCAGCAAGUUUGCUUGUGAACGGAAAAGAGCCGUGAGCUACGGGGUGAUGAAAACACAGAAUCAGCAGAGAGUUUUGGGCUCCUGAGGUCCUCGGAGCUAAGGAGAGGGGCUCAGGACAGGACGGAAGCGACUUGAACUCCGCACCGUGUCCCUGUCACCAGCAGCCAUCCCACAGGGCCACGGGACACCAGGACCUCUUCCUCCCAGCCAGAAGCAAUGGUGUGUCCUCUAACGAAGCUCUCCCUGCGAAGCAGCAGUUCCUGGGAUGAAAGGAGCUCACGCCGGAGGAGGACGUUGAUCUGAAGGCCGCAGGAUUCCUGCUGCCAUCCCCAACAGCCUGCCUUCGCGUUCCCUGGUACUGGAUACGGGGAGCUGGGAGCCUCAGGCAUGAGAAGCCCUUGCCGUCGGGGCGGGUCUGUCCCGGGAAGGCAGGUCGUGUCUGCCAUAGACAGUGCCUCCUGCGGUGUCCCCAUCUCCGUGGAAGGGGACCUGGGUGACCAACUCUGUGGCUGGACCAACUGCUCCACAACAGGGGGAGGGGAACCAGUUUCACUGCUCAGCCAGGGCCCACGUUUGCCCUGAAUCUGCUCUUGGCCGGGUGCGGGGACCCCAGGGGCCCCCGGCAAGGCGCAGUCUGGAGAUGUCCGUGAAAAGAGGCAGUUUCCGUGGGAACAGGGUGGUCAGGAGCCCAAGGAAGCCUCAGCAUGCCCUGAGCUGGGGACAGAGGAAAGAGUGGUGGACGCGGGGCUAGGGACCUUGGACCUUGAGCUGGCCAUGCACAGACCCAGUUAGCCACAGAGCUCUCCGGACUGGGGAUGGCUGAGACACAGCCUGGGCUGGACUGAACAGCUUCCAGAGGAGAACGGACAGGUGCCACGUGGUCAGGGAAGCCCCCACGGAGUCCGACGUGGCGGUGACUGCGGAUGCCCCACGGUGAGCCCGAGUCCAAGGGAGCAAAGAAGGAGAGGGCGUGUUUGGCUGCGUGAAAACAGUAGGAACGUUCUGAAAUCACGGAAUCCUUAUGAGAAGAACUCGUCAUCCAAUACCCAACAGGAGCUGCUCCUGCCCCGGUCUUCACAACGCGAGGGCUCCAUCCUCCGUGAUCCUUGAUAGCUCAGCUCUAGGAUCUUCACAACGAGAGGGCUCCGUCCUCUGUGGUCCUUGAUAGCUCAGCUCUAGGGCCGCGCACAUUCUUGGUAGAGUGGGACGUGUCUGCUGUUUUUCUAAAAGCUAUUUUUUAAAGGCCUCUGCAACACACAACAUACGUUCUUUUAAACCGCAGUGAAAACUUGAAUGUAAAAAUGGGCCUCACGGGAAUCUUUUCAAUAUUUUACAUUUCUUCGGAUACUUUUCAAAGCCCCUCCAUUUCUCCACCUCCCCUUUCUCAUCUGGUCUCAGCCGGCACAGUGUGGCACGGAGGUGGACCGAUUUCCUCAGGACACCACAGCCAAAGCUCGGAAAACCAGGUUUCCUGAGUUUCAGUUCAGCCAUCCACGACUGUGGUGACAGGCAUCGUGUCUUUCUCUUUAAGAAAAAAAGAAAAUUGUAUAUAAAUCACUGCUUUCAGCUCAGCAGGGAUGAAGUUGUGAGGAUGGUGCCUUCCUCAGGGUGGGACCCCAGUGGGGAUGAGAAUCAGCAGGGCCCUAGGCCCCAGCAGUGGCUUUCGCAUGAUUGAGAAAUGGAUCCCAGGGUGGGAAGGAAUAAACGGCAAACCACAAGGGCCCAGUGAACCAGGGAACACACAGCAGCCUCUGGAAACGAAGGGGUUUCCUGGGGAGAAGGCAGUGGAUGCUGAUUGGUCAAUAUUACAAGUCCAGCCCGAGCCAGGUGCGCCUGCAGAUGACCUCCCGGAACGUUCCCAGCCCAUGGAGGCAGGGGAAAUCAGCCUUCAGGCAGAAUGGCCCUGAGACUGCAGGGAUCCAUGUGUAGCCCUGGCUCUUGACCUCCACCUGAUCCGGCCGGGCCCUCUGCCUUCCAAGAACCACCUACAAGGACAAGAACAGAUUCCAGAGAAUGCCUCUUCCUGGACCAGGGAAAGUGCGGGUUCCAGCGAGACUUCUGAGAAGCGUCACGUCCUCUGAUGAGUCACCUGGCCUGCAGAUUCCGUAGGUACCAAGGAUCCUGCUUUUCCCAGGUAAAGGCAACCUGACCAUGUUGGCUGUGUUUUAAUUAAACCUGGGCCCCGGCCAGAGUGGCUCCCUGUGCAGGGUUCUCAUCAGCAGAGGCUCUGUGCUCACGGAAUUUCUAGGCUCAGCGCUGCAGUGGGACCCUGAGCUGAACAACCCGACACCCAGGCUCUGCUCCAGCGAGGCCUUGCUGGUUUCGCUGGCUUCCUCUAGGACACCUGCACUCUGAGUCAGACUCCGCUCCCCAGAAACAGCCCCGGGACCCUGGGAAAAGGCACUGGCCAGGGAGGUCACGACCUUGACCAGCUGACCAAGUGCAGGGCACAGCUUGGCUGCCAGCCAGAGACUUUGCCUGGGGCUGUGUGUGCGGCUUCUGUGUUCAGGGAGGAAUGAGUCUCAUCUCAACCAACUCAGAAGCCAGCACUGCUCCAGCUUUUAUUGCAGGAGGAUUCCGGAAACUUCCAUGACCUAAGGAACGUGGGUAAAUGCAACAGAGGAAACAGAAGCAAACCAGGACAGGCCGAGAAGCCAGGCGGGAGAGCUGUGGCCUGCCUGGGCUCACCCUGACACCGCACAAGGAAGCACAGCCGGACUAGCGUAGCGAGGGCGCCCAGGCCUGCCCUGCACCUGCGGGAACCACUUGGGGCAGGCUCCUGUUUCGUGACACAGGCUCCUGUUUCGUGACACAGGCUCCUGUUCCAUCCACGGGCAGGGUUGGCCCCGCGAGGCCCACAGACAUGGGUGGAGCUCCCUGAGGCACCCUUGCUGGGUACUCCGGGUGCAGAAGGAGGCGUUGGACACUGCAAGGCCAGGAGGUGAGGUGCUGUCCAGGCCCUGCCAUCAUUUUCAGCAAACCUGCAGAGCUGCCCUCUGCGCCCCAGCCCCCUGUGUGAGGAGCAGAGACGGCUGUGCACCCGGGAGGCCAGUGACGCUCCUGGACGCAGCAUGGGGAGGCUGGAUGCAUAGGGUCCAGGGCGUAUGCAUCCUGCUCCUGGCCCUGUUCCUGGCCAGGCUGGCUGACCCUCACUAGCCGCUCCACCUGGAUGCUCUGGGGGCACCAGACCCAGCCUCUCAGAGGGAAGCAGGGCCAGGAAGAGGCAGGCACUGGCCAGGGGCUCUUGGAGAAGCGGCCCUGAGAGUAGGGGCCAGCCCAUGCCAGGCUGGGGCUGAGGGUGUUCAGCUCUGCCCUGGAGUCCUUGACCUUUGUGGGGGCAGCCCCUAGACCCCAAAUGUCCACAGCGUCUGCCCCUCCCCAGGGUGCCAAGGAUGGCUCAACCCAAGGACAGCAACUGACCUAAGGCUGCUGGUGCCCAGUGGACUCUGACGUGGGCUGUAUGCAUCAGUGAGUGUAUGUGAGGGUGUGUGAGUGUGUGUGUGUGCAGGAGGGCAGUGCGUGUCUGCUGCUUCCUUGUGUGUGCAUGUGUGAGUGGUGCCGUGCAUGUCUGCUGCCUCCAUGUCAGUGUGCGUGUGCCUGUGAGAGUUGCCUCUGUGUGUGUUUGUGUGUGUUUGAGUGGUGCCAUGUGUGUCUGGUGCCUUUGUGUGUGUGUGUGUAUGUGGGUUACCAUGUGUGUCUGCUGCCUCCUUGUGUGUGCAUGUGUGUGUGUAUGUGAGUGUGAGAGUGGUACUGUGUCUGUGGCCUCUGUGUGAGUGGGAGUGUGCGUGUGUGUGUUUGCAUGUGUGUGUGUGCUUAUGAGUGCUGCCAUGUGUCUGCUGCCUCUGUGUGAGUGGGGGUGUGCAUGUGUGUGUUUGCGUGUGUGUGUGCUUGUGAGUGCUGCUGUGUGUCUGCUGCCUCCAUGUGAGUGGGAGUGAGCGCUGGAGCAUCUGAACUCCUGGUCCCCCCAGCGGGGACUCUCCCGCCUCCUGUUGGAGGACGCCGGAUGGGUGCUCCCCUGGGAGGGAUGAGGCAGCCUGUCUCCAGCCCUGCUUGCACCAGUGCAUGCACAUGGACCCCCUCAACCUUCCCUGAAGUCCAGAAGGGAGGCCUUGCUAGGGAUCCUGUGGUUCCCCUUCCACAGAUCUCAGGGCUCCUGGAAAGCCCAGGAAAUUCGAGCACACCAAGGAACAGACUGUGCCCCCUCUGCUUUCCAGGCCUCCAUGCAUUAUCCUCCUAGACUCGGGGCCAGCGGGGAGGGAAGCGUCCUCAGCCUCAGUGGCAGAUGUGGAAAUGAAUGAUUUGCUGGAAAACACAGAGCUAGUGGAUGGUAGGGCUGGGGUCUGAACCGUCGUCGGGCUGAGUCCACCAUGUGUGACUUUUCGUUCUAUGCCACUGCCGUCUGUGUGUGGGCAAUGCCAGUUGCCUCCCCAGGUGCCGGGUCAUGAGUGGAUACAAGGAUGAGCCCAGAGGACCUGUGCAAGGUCAACAGGUAGUGCCCAAGGUCAGCACCUAACAUCCCCCUGCCUGCUGGAGGGGGCGUGUCCAUGGCCCACCGUCUGCGGCUCCCGUCCAGCCUCUGGGGUGUGGGGGCCUCCGUGGUUUAUUUAGGUCUAUAACAGUCUUUCAGGCAAGCGCACUCUGGAGGGACCAGGGUUCCUCCCACACAGAUCAUAAUUUCAGUCCCAGAAUCUCAUUCCCAAGAAAUAUCGUUUAGGACCCCAAGGAACUUUUAAUUAACUCAGCCUUUCGUGGAGCCAGUAAAUGCAAAUAGCUAGCGAUGAAUUCCUCAAGUUAUCUGGGAUAAAUGAUGGCUGUGGAAAUGAUCUCUCUUAAGAGCCGUGGGAAUUCGUGCAGUUUGAAGGGAGUCUGAGUUUCUGAGUCUGCCCGUGCAGCACGUCCCCUGGAAUGAGGUUUGUGCUCUGCCUGCGUUCAUUUUUAGAGCAAAAGAGAAGCAACACCGAAUUAAAGUGUGUUACGUCUGUGCCUAAUAGACGGAUUACCAAUAAAUAAUAGGCAGUUGAUGUGCCCUGCGAACAGGCAUUUUGGAGGAGGAACCAGGUACCGCCUUGUGGUGGGGGACGACACCUGGGCAGGCGACAGGGGGCUGGUGCCAACCCCUUGACUUCCAGGCAGAGUCAGUCUCAACUGCGGAAGUGAGUUGACCCGCCCUCCACUCCGCUCCGCGUGUGGGCUGAUUGCUGGGUGUUUCCACUCCAGGCUACCCUGCCGACCUGUCCUUCCAGAACCUGGUCCCCACCAAACCACCUUCCCAGCAAGGCUUUCUAAAGGGAGUUCUUAGAAUUUGGGAUCAAAAGCACAGAAAUGAGAGCCCAUAUAACAAUAGGGAAACAGCGAGACACAGACCUUGUUUUUGAAGCUGGAAUGUGAAUUAAGCUCAAUUUGGACGGCCUCGCUCGAGGUGCAAUAACUCUAAAUUAGCUCUAAAGGAAGGAUGGGCGGCUGAGAUUGAUGCUCGCGCCUAAGAAGUAAACCGCGCUUAUUGGUUUUAUCUCCGCCUUACAGGAAACAGCCCUUAAUAGAGGGGCAUUUACUGUCACUUCCUGAGGAAUAAAGACAUUAAAGAUGUUUGAUACUUAAAAU